rnacentral:misc_RNA from 1 species
AACGCACAUUGCGCCCCUUGGUAUUCCAGGGGGCAUGCCUGUUUGAGCGUCAUUUCCUUCUCAAACAUUCUGUUUGGUAGUGAGUGAUACUCUUUGGAGUUAACUUGAAAUUGCUGGCCUUUUCAUUGGAUGUUUUUUUUCCAAAGAGAGGUUUCUCUGCGUGCUUGAGGUAUAAUGCAAGUACGGUCGUUUUAGGUUUUACCAACUGCGGCUAAUCUUUUUUUAUACUGAGCGUAUUGGAACGUUAUCGAUAAGAAGAGAGCGUCUAGGCGAACAAUGUUCUUAAAGUUUGACCUCAAAUCAGGUAGGAGUACCCGCUGAACUUAA